rnacentral:rRNA from 1 species
GCAUCGAUGAAGAACGCAGCCAAAUGCGAUAUCUAGUGCGAAUUGCAUGAAUCUGUGAGUCAUCUAGUAUUUGAACGCAACUUGCGCCGAUUUUCGGCAUGUUCCGUUGAGGGCGGUAUACAUGUGAGUUUACUCGAUAUGGCUGUUGGUGUAGGGGGCGCAAGCUCAGUACACUCGGUCUAAUGAUAGCAAGAUAAUGGGGGGUUCUAGAGAACCGAGUGCCAAGCGACUGCCAAGCAUUCUUGGGGCUCUAGACCAUCCAGCUACACGCACAACACGCCUCAACUGGAGCAGGACUACCCGCUGAACUUAAGCAUAUCAAUAAGCGGAGGA